rnacentral:rRNA from 1 species
AAAGGAAUAGACGGGGGCCCGCACAAGCGGAGGAGCAUGUGGUUUAAUUCGAUGAUACGCGAGGAACCUUACCUAGGCUUGAAAGACGUAUGCUUUAUUUAGAGAUAGAUAUUUCCGGUAACGGACAUACGUCUAGGUGCUGCAUGGCUGUCGUCAGCUCGUGCCGUGAGGUGUUUGGUUAAGUCCAGCAACGAGCGCAACCCCUAUUAUUAGUUACCAGCGAGUUAAGUCGGGGACUCUAAUAAAACUGCCAGCGUAAGCUGAGAGGAAGGUGGGGAUGACGUCAAGUCAGCACGGUCCUUACGUCUAGGGCUACACACGUGCUACAAUGGUUGGUACAGAGGGCAGCUACAUAGUGAUAUGAUGCGAAUCUCUAAAGCCAAUCUCAGUUCGGAUUGAAGUCUGCAACUCGACUUCAUGAAGUCGGAUUCGCUAGUAAUCGCGUAUCAGCAAUGACGCGGUGAAUACGUUCCCGGGCCUUGUACACACCGCCCGU